rnacentral:rRNA from 1 species
GACGAACGCUGGCGGCGUGCCUAAUACAUGCAAGUAGAACGCUGAAGGAGGAGCUUGCUUCUCUGGAUGAGUUGCGAACGGGUGAGUAACGCGUAGGUAACCUGCCUGGUAGCGGGGGAUAACUAUUGGAAACGAUAGCUAAUACCGCAUAAGAGUAGAUGUUGCAUGACAUUUGCUUAAAAGGUGCAAUUGCAUCACUACCAGAUGGACCUGCGUUGUAUUAGCUAGUUGGUGAGGUAACGGCUCACCAAGGCAACGAUACAUAGCCGACCUGAGAGGGUGAUCGGCCACACUGGGACUGAGACACGGCCCAGACUCCUACGGGAGGCAGCAGUAGGGAAUCUUAGGCAAUGGACGGAAGUCUGACCGAGCAACGCCGCGUGAGUGAAGAAGGUUUUCGGAUCGUAAAGCUCUGUUGUAAGAGAAGAACGAGUGUGAGAGUGGAAAGUUCACACUGUGACGGUAUCUUACCAGAAAGGGACGGCUAACUACGUG